rnacentral:ncRNA from 1 species
CGACCUCAGAUCAGACGUGGCGACCCGCUGAAUUUAAGCAUAUUAGUCAGCGGAGGAAAAGAAACUAACGAGGAUUCCCUCAGUAACGGCGAGUGAAGAGGGAAGAGCCCAGCGCCGAAUCCCCGCCCCGCGGUGGGGCGCGGGCCAUGUGGCGUACAGAAGCCCCGAUCCCCGGCGGCGCUCUCGGGGGACCCAAGUCCUUGUGAUCGAGGCCGCAGCCCGCGGACGGUGUGAGGCCGGUAGCGGCCCCAAUGAACACAGCUGGGUUUCGCCCGCACC